GCCUAUUUAGCUUGGUUGGUAGCGUGUCUGUCUUGUAAGCGUUAGGCUGCGGGUUCGAUUCCCGCCAGGGGCG
rnacentral:tRNA from 1 species